AGCUUAGUUGGUAAAGCACUAGUUUAGCAUACCAGAGUCCUGGGUUCGAAUCCCUG
rnacentral:tRNA from 1 species